rnacentral:lncRNA from 1 species
GCAACUGAAAGCCCCAAGAACAUGAUCCAAUAGAGGAUGACCCAGCUACCAUCAAUGGUUUAAAUAAGUACACAGGAAAAAAGAGAAAAACAUAUGAAAGGUACUACCUAGUGGAGCUCAGACUCACAUAAGGAGACAAACGGAUAAUAAACCAAUCUAAUGCGCCUUUGUUCUUCUUUGUCAUGCCAACACAAACAUGGUAAUGGAGCAGUAGCCCUAGAAACUUCAAUCAACACCCAAACCGACCAAAAAACUUGCAAAAACUAGAAAAAACAGAGUUUUGGUGGUGAUACAGUUUGAAGAUUAUCCUGGUGACAAUAAAAAUAAUGGCGGGGAGGUGGACGUGAUGUUGGUAGCGGUGGCAGUCGCAAUGACGUUGACUAUGGUGCUACACGUGAGAAUCUAAGAUCAACAACUUGACUCAAUGAUGUAACGGAAAGUCAACGAAGCAAGAAACUAAAACAUGAAAAGGACAAUGUAGUGGCUCAAAGAUAGCUAGGUGAUGGAUGCAAUAUUUUUUUUUGGCUUUUUAUUGUUAGGG